GCCACUGCUAUUGGAAUGCGACUAAGCCAUGCGAGUCAGGGGGCUCUUUGGAGCACCGGCGUACGGCUCAGUAACAUGUGGGUAACCUACCCUCAGGUGGGAGAUAACCUCGGGAAACUGAGGCUAAUAUCCCAUAGAUAAAAGAUACUGGAAUGUUUUUUUAUCGAAAACUCUUGUGCCUGAGGAUGGGCCUGCGCCCGAUUAGGUUGUUGGUGAGGUAAUGGCUCACCAAGCCUACGAUCGGUACGGGUCGUGAGAGCGAUAGCCCGGAGAUGGGGACUGAGACAAGGCCCCAGGCCCUACGGGGCGCAGCAGGCGCGAAAUCUCUCCAAUGUGUGAAACCAUGAGAGGGGUAUUCCAAGUGCCCUUGCUUUGCAAGGGAUUUUCUUUGGUCCAAGACGCCGAAGGAAUAAGAGCUGGGUAAGACCGGUGCCAGCCGCCGCGGUAACACCGGCAGCUCGAGUGGUGGCCACUAUUAUUGGGCCUAAAGCGUUCGUAGCCGGGCAGGUAAGUGCUCUGGUAAAUCCCAUAACUUAAUUAUGGGGCUUCAGAACAUACUGCUUGCCUUGAGACCGGGAGAGGCUGGAGGUACUUUCGGGGUAGGGGUAAAAUCCUAUAAUCCCGAAGGGACUACCGGUGGCGAAGGCGUCCAGCCAGAACGGGUCUGACGGUGAGGGACGAAACCCAGGGGAGCGAGUCGGAUUAGAUAUCCGGGUAGUCCUGGGCGUAAAUGAUGUGGGCUAGGUGCAAAGCUACCUAAGCGGUAGCUUGGUGCCGAUGGGAAGCCGUUAAGCCCACCGCCUGGGGAGUACGGUCGCAAGGCUGAAACUUAAAGGAAUUGGCGGGUGAGCACCACAAGGGGUGGAGGCUGCGGUUU
rnacentral:rRNA from 1 species